CCUACGGGUGGCAGCAGUGAGGAAUAUUGGUCAAUGGCCGAGAGUCUGAACCAGCCAAGUAGCGUGAAGGAAGACGGCCCUAUGGGUUGUACACCUCUUUUGUAUGGGAGGAAAGUGCUUCACGUGUGAGUCAUUGUGUGUACCAUAAGAAUAAGGAUUGGCUAACUCCGUGACAGCAGCCGCGGUAAUACGGAGGGUCCGAUCGUUAUCCGGAUUUCUUGGGUUUAAAGGGUGCGUAGGUGGGUGGGUAAGUUAGACGUGAAAGUUUGCGGCGCAACCGUAGAAUUGCGGUUGAAACUGCAAGCCUUGAGUGCAGUAGAGGUGAGCGGAAUGCGUGGUGUAGCGGUGAAAUGCGUAGAUAUCACGAAGAACUCCGAUUGCGAAGGCAGCUUACUGGACUGCAACUGACGCUGAGGCUCGAAAGUGUGGGUAUCGAACAGGAUUAGAUACCCGGGUAGUC
rnacentral:rRNA from 1 species